AGAGGUUAUUAGCUAUAUUUCAAUCUAGAGCUUCUGUAGCAGAAGGUCCACUUGAUGAAGAACAUGAAAAUGAUGUGCUAAGAGUUGAAGGCUGGGAUAGUGGGGGCAUGCCGGAUGUUCUAAUGCAAUCUUCCAGCCUCUGUGAUGCUAUUGGCAUACAAUUACGGAAGAUUUGGCUUUGUAGGUAAAAAUUUUUUGAGUUGCCCACAUUGAAUUUUAUAUAAUGUUAUUCAAGAUCUAACCUCACAAUUUUCCUCCUCUCUCUUACCUUGAUAUUUAAUUGUAUCAUCUUUGUAUAUAUUUUGCUGAAAUUGGAUGCAAAUGGCAGAAGCCUGAUGUUCCCUUCUUUUAUUUAAAUGUCAUCCAGACUUCGUCUGAAAUGGAUUGUAGGUAGCUAGAAGCCUGAAGUUUCCUUCGCCAAACUACUUGUACAGAAGAUA
rnacentral:misc_RNA from 1 species